CCUACGGGGGGCUGCAGUGGGGAAUAUUGGACAAUGGGGGGAACCCUGAUCCAGCCAUGCCGCGUGUGUGAAGAAGGCCCUCGGGUUGUAAAGCACUUUCAGUGAGGAAGAACGCCUGGUGGUUAAUACCCAUCAGGAAAGACAUCACUCACAGAAGAAGCACCGGCUAACUCCGUGCCAGCAGCCGCGGUAAUACGGAGGGUGCGAGCGUUAAUCGGAAUUACUGGGCGUAAAGCGCGCGUAGGUGGCUUGAUAAGCCGGUUGUGAAAGCCCCGGGCUCAACCUGGGAACGGCAUCCCGGACUGUGAAGCUAGAGGGUGGGAGAGGAAGGGAGAACCCGCGGUGGAGGGGGGAACUGCGUAGAGAUCGGGAGGAGUACCAGUGGCGGAGGCGGGCUUCUGGACUAUCACUGACACUAGGGUGCGAGCGCGUGAGUAGCAAACAGGACUAGAUAGCCGAGUAGUC
rnacentral:rRNA from 1 species